UGCAAGUCGAGGGGCAGCAUGGUCUUAGCUUGCUAAGGCCGAUGGCGACCGGCGCACGGGUGAGUAACACGUAUCCAACCUGCCGUCUACUCUUGGACAGCCUUCUGAAAGGAAGAUUAAUACAAGAUGGCAUCAUGAGUCCGCAUGUUCACAUGAUUAAAGGUAUUCCGGUAGACGAUGGGGAUGCGUUCCAUUAGGCAGUUGGCGGGGUAACGGCCCACCAAACCAACGAUGGAUAGGGGUUCUGAGAGGAAGGUCCCCCACAUUGGAACUGAGACACGGUCCAAACUCCUACGGGAGGCAGCAGUGAGGAAUAUUGGUCAAUGGACGAGAGUCUGAACCAGCCAAGUAGCGUGAAGGAUGACUGCCCUAUGGGUUGUAAACUUCUUUUAUACGGGAAUAAAGUGAGCCACGUGUGGCUUUUUGUAUGUACCGUAUGAAUAAGGAUCGGCUAACUCCGUGCCAGCAGCCGCGGUAAUACGGAGGAUCCGAGCGUUAUCCGGAUUUAUUGGGUUUAAAGGGAGCGUAGGCGGGUUGUUAAGUCAGUUGUGAAAGUUUGCGGCUCAACCGUAAAAUUGCAGUUGAUACUGGCGACCUUGAGUGCAACAGAGGUAGGCGGAAUUCGUGGUGUAGCGGUGAAAUGCUUAGAUAUCACGAAGAACUCCGAUUGCGAAGGCAGCUUACUGGAUUGUAACUG
rnacentral:rRNA from 1 species